CAGGGAACUAACCCGUCAAGACAAUGCUGACAUUUCUUUUCCUAUGUCGAACAUGGCUCCUGCUUCCUCUAAACAGCUGAUUGCAGCCACUUUUACCCCGUUAACUGAUCAAGGUGAAAUCAACCUUGAAGUGAUUGAACCUUAUCUCGACUACUUGAUAAAGAAGCAAGGAAUAUAUAGCAUAUUUUUGAACGGCACCGCCGGGGAGGGCAUGUCUCUC